rnacentral:rRNA from 1 species
UACGUAGGGUGCGAGCGUUAAUCGGAAUUACUGGGCGUAAAGCGUCCGCAGGUGGCACUUCAAGUCUGUCGUCAAAGACUGGGGCUUAACCCCGGAAGGGCGGUGGAAACUGAAGCGCUAGAGUGCGGUAGGGGUAGAGGGAAUUCCCGGUGUAGCGGUGAAAUGCGUAGAGAUCGGGAAGAACAUCGGUGGCGAAAGCGCUCUACUGGACCGCAACUGACACUCAGGGACGAAAGCUAGGGGAGCGAAUGGG